UGGGGAAUAUUGCACAAUGGGGGAAACCCUGAUGCAGCGACGCCGCGUGAGCGAAGAAGUAUUUCGGUAUGUAAAGCUCUAUCAGCAGGGAAGAAAAUGACGGUACCUGACUAAGAAGCCCUGGCUAACUACGUGCCAGCAGCCGCGGUAAUACGUAGGGGGCAAGCGUUAUCCGGAUUUACUGGGUGUAAAGGGAGCGUAGACGGUGUGGCAAGUCUGAUGUGAAAGGCAUGGGCUCAACCUGUGGACUGCAUUGGAAACUGUCAUACUUGAGUGCCGGAGGGGUAAGCGGAAUUCCUAGUGUAGCGGUGAAAUGCGUAGAUAUUAGGAGGAACACCAGUGGCGAAGGCGGCUUACUGGACGGUAACUGACGUUGAGGCUCGAAAGCGUGGGGAGCAAACAGGAUUAGAUACCCUGGUAGU
rnacentral:rRNA from 1 species